GGCUUCACGGUCAUGUACUCAUCAUCCAUUUACCUUUGUUUUGGUUGUGAGCUUGAUCUUGCAUCUACUGCCCAAUUGAUUUUCAGAUUUACAAGGAGCAGUUCCAUCAUAUCACUGAUGAGGAAUUCAAUUGGGCAUAUGGAAUGUGAAGAUUUUGGAUCAGUAUCGGGGAUAUUAAUUCAAGGACUGUGAUUCGGGACGGGCGUCUCGACAUUUGGAUUGGUUUGAUUCGAUCUACAUUGGA